UUUCUUAAUUUCUUAAGGCUGCCAGAAACUUUUCUAGGUUCUGUGAUAGUAUUUUGCUGAGACUUGACAUUGUGUACUUUUUCACUCAGAAUUGGUGUUUGCAUUUUCUAACCAUUUAAUGUGUCCUAUCUUCAUUGAGUGGUGAGGGACAGAGAUACUAAGCAGUAUGUAGAGGGUUAACCUUAAAAUUACUGGUCUUCUUUUGGGAUACGUUAUUUAACAGUUUACAUUUCUUUACAAGCUGUGCUCCUCGUUCCCCUCAUUACUUAUCCUGUUUUUCAGACACCAUUGCAUUCCUUACCAAGCUUGGGCAUUUGUUACUUAUGUUUGUACUGGACGUUGUUCUCUCUCCAAAUGAAAGUAUGAACUGACCCAAAGGCUUAGAGUUUCUUCUAAGUUUUCUUUAUAGUCUUCCACUUUCCUAUUCAAAUCUCAUUUCUCCCUCCUUCCCCUAUCACUUUACAAUCUAAAGAUUUUCUUUUUCUUUUAUCUCGCUUAGCUUGACAACAUACAUUUGGGGUUUAUGGACUUGAGGGAGUCUGUGAACUCCUUCUCUCCCUGCUAAAUUUAUGUGUGAUGGUGGAACUGUGUUUAUUUUUGCAAUGUACAUUCAGAAUAGUGUAUAAAAUCUAUAAAUUAUGAAAUAUAUGCAUACCUUGGAGAAAUUGCAGGUUCGGUUCCAGACCACUGCAGUAAAGUGAGUCGUAAUCUUUUUGCGGGUGGAAGGUUCUCUCCAAUUCGUAAAGAACACCGUAUCUGUAAAGCACGAUAAAGUGAAGCUCAAUAACAUGGUAUAUGUAAACAGUGCCCGAGUCAAAAAUAGGACGUUGUCAGUAACCUAGAAACAGACUCUGAGGAUCCCUUCUCCUUCCAUGUUUUUGACUUUUUAAAUUAUUAUUUCCUUGCUCUUCUGUACAAGUUUUACCUGUAUGCACAUAUAUAACAUAUGCAUCCCUUUACGAUAUUAUUGAGUUUUACCUAUUUUACAAGUUCAUGAGUGGAAUUAUCCUGUAUGUAUUCUUUAGUGUCAUGCUUUUUUCAUGCAAUAUUAAGUUUGCAAGAUUUACCCAAAUUAUAUGUAGCUGUAGUUUAUUUUCAUUGUAUAAAUAUAUCAUACUUUUUGUCUGUCACAUUUUAUUAAUUUGUUGGAGUUCUUUACACAAGAAUCUCAACCUUUUUGGUUGCGUGUGUUGUAAAUAAAUAUCUUCCACUCUGUGGCUUAUUUUAAAAUUUUUCUUUAUUGAUUUCUUUUGAUGUGAAAUUCUUAAUUAUAAUGUAAGUGUGUUUAUGAAUCUUUUUUUUUUGUUAUAGUGUCCCUCCUCCCCCUCACUGUCCUCCCUGGUUAGGAAUGCUUUCCGUACCCCAAGGCCAUGAAGAUAUUCUCCUAUAUUGUCUCUUAAAAGUUUUGUAACUUUGAGAGAGAUUGUAGCAUUCAUCAGACUCUCAACCAGAACUGAGAACCUCUGACUAAGGAACAAGGAUGUGUAGAUCACAGCAGACAUCCUGGGCCAUGAGGUUACCUUGAGGAUGGAAUCCAUGUACUGAGAAUGGUGGAGCAGAAAAGUAGAUGGAAUCUACUUUUGCCAGUGAUAAGAGAGUCAUCAUCUGAGCUUUUGAUUACCUGCCUCCUCCUUUAUUUGAAAAAAUAAAUAAAUAAACUGUCUUGUUUAAGCCA